GGAAGUUAAGAAACUGUUUCUUAACUUUUAACUAAAAAAGUUAAGAACCGGUUCUUAAAUAAAGACUUUAAGAACAGAUUCUUAGCAUUUUUAGUUAAAAUUUAAGAAACAGUUUCUUAACUUCU
rfam:Brassica oleracea var. oleracea cultivar TO1000 chromosome C9, whole genome shotgun sequence